ensembl:misc_RNA 7SK 7SK RNA
GAAUGUGGGGGAGAUCUGGCUGUGACACCUGUCACCCCACUGAUCUCCCAGGUUGAUUCGGCUGAUCUGGCUGGCUAGGCAGGUGUCCCCUUCCUCCCUCACCGCUCCAUGUGCCUGCCUCCCAAAGCUGCAUGCUCGGUGGAAGAGGACGACUAUCCUCCAUAGAGGAGGACCAUUCUUCAGUCAAGGGUAUUCGAGUAGCCACAUUCCCCUGCUAGAACCUCCAAACAAGCUCUCAACAUCAAAUUUUGAUCUGUCAAGUAACUAUACUGUAAUAAUUUUGGUAUAUGAUUUGGAUUUGAUAAGGUUAUGUUCACAUA